rnacentral:rRNA from 1 species
UACGGAGGGAGCUAGCGUUGUUCGGAAUUACUGGGCGUAAAGCGCACGUAGGCGGCUUUGUAAGUUAGAGGUGAAAGCCCGGGGCUCAACUCCGGAACUGCCUUUAAGACUGCAUCGCUUGAAUCCAGGAGAGGUGAGUGGAAUUCCGAGUGUAGAGGUGAAAUUCGUAGAUAUUCGGAAGAACACCAGUGGCGAAGGCGGCUCACUGGAGCUGGUAUUGACGCUGAGGUGGACGAAAGCGUGGGGAGCAAACAGG